rnacentral:lncRNA from 1 species
AAAAAAUUCAUGCACAGUCCAUACUUGAAGGGUAGAAGUUAUACAAUCCCCCUUUUAGAGUGGAAUAGCCAUGUAAAGUGGAAUUCUGCAUGGGAGAUUUGCUUUCCUUCCCCAUUUUUAAAUUUAUUCAGUCAUUUCUUUACCUCAGUAUGGACUCAUGGAUAUUUUAUUAUUAGAUGUACUUCUUUGCCAGCACCAUCACAACUGGGACACAGAAAACUGCUCCUUCCCUCAAAAUCCUCCCCUUCAUGGCAUUUGGCAGUGAACCCCUUCCCCCUUUCUGACCUCUGGAAGCCACUGAUUGGUCCUCAGACCUUCUUUUUUGCCUUUCUCAGAAUGCCAUACAAAUAGAACUGUACAGUGGUAGCCUUUUACUUGACAUAAUUAUCUGGAGACUCAUCCAUGUUGUUGUGUUUAUCAGUAGUUUUUUUUUGUUGUUGUUGUUGUUAUUGCUGAAUAGUAUUCUACUCACCUGAGGGUGGCCAUUUGAGUUGUUUUCCAUUUGGGAUGAUUAUGAAAGAAACUAAAUAUUCAUGUAUAGUUUUUCAUUUGCACAUAAGUUUUCAUUUUUUCUAAAUAUCCAUGAGUAGAGUGGCUGGGUAGUAGAACACAUACCUAUUUUUUAUAAGAAACUGCCAAACUGUUUUUCAGAGUGCUCACACCACUUUUCAUUCUCUCCAACAGUGUAUGAAAGUUCCUGUUGCUCCACAUUCCUGCCAGCCUUUGGUUUCUUUCUUUUUCUUCCCCUUAAUUUUAGCCAUUCAAAUGGGUAUGUAGUGGUAUUUCAUUAUGGGUUUAAUUUAGAAUUCCUUAAAAGCUAAUGUUGUGCAUCUUUUUGUAAUUGCCAUCUAUAUUUCUACUUAGGUGAAAUGUCUG